CUGCCCUGGGCCGCCGGGCUCCUGGCUGAAGAGAGCCUCCAGCGCUGAGAUGGACGCCGCGUGCCUCUGGCGCAGCCUCGCUUUCCCUGCCUGGGGAAGGGAGCCCAGCCCCAGCUGAAGAGAGGCCAGAGGGCAGGAAGAGCAGAAUUUGAGGAGCACUCAGACACAGUGGAGGUUUAGCGCAAUCAUCCACAUACCAGCUGGUGCCUGAAGCAGAGGGUAAGUCACCAGUCACGAGCACUGCAGCGGCUAAAGAAUCCCGGGCACCGGAUCUGCAGGAUUCACUGUC
rnacentral:lncRNA from 1 species